UGUAACAAAUGACCACAAGUGGAUGGCUUAACACAACAGCAGUGUAUUCUCUCAGUCCUGGGGCAGGCAGGCAGGGCCGCUGCCUCCUGAGGCUCUGGGAGAGACCAUUCUAUGCCUUGCCACUCGCUUGUGGUGGCUGCUGUCAAUCCUUGGCGUUCCUGGGCUUAUACACGAUCACUCUAGUCUCUGCCUGUCAUCACACUGCCUCCUCCUCUGCUGUGUCUGUCUGCUCUGUGUGUCUCUUGUAAGGACACUUGUCACUGGAUUUAGGGCCCACACAGAUAAUCCAGGCUGAUCUCCUUGUCUCAAAUCCUUCACUUGAUUACGUCUGCAAAGAAACUGCUUCCAAAUCAGGAGAAGAAACGGGCAAUAACCCUGAGAGCAGGAGCCACCCCCAUGGGGCUGGGCCGCUGAUGCCACAGGACUGCAGAGCGACCCUCCUGGGAAGAAAGAAGGCCUGGGUUUGCUUUUCCAAGAACUGUAAGGAGGAGGUUCCACACCCUUCCUCACAUCCAAGAUGCCUGUCAUCAGGAAGUUCUGCUUGUUAUCUCUCCUGAUGCCCUCACGCUGCAGCCCUGUCACACAGAUGGCCCUGUGUUGUGCCAGUUGAUAUAGGCAGAGGGUCUUUGGGAAAAAGAAACACACAUCAAGAUUGGAGACCCCUGUCCAGCUCCACGGUGAGAACUGCAUGCACCCUUGGCUUUGGAGGGCAGGUGAGUGGGGAAGGACCCAGCUGCCACCUGGAGGAGACAGGACCAAUCUUAGAGCUCCCUUCUCCUCCUCUGUCAACUUCCGAAGCAAUUUCCUUUAUUGCCGGUGCCAUUGGCUGGAACCACGGAUGAGUAAAUCAAUAUGGGAAGCAAGUGGGCCCAGUUAGUACACGCACGGCUUUACGUUCUCUCAGCGGUAAACAAAAUCUGACCUCCAAACAAUCAUCUCUGGGCUGCCAGCGCUGCCUCUCCACCAACACCUCUUCUUACUCAGUAGAUGAUGGGCUUGCUUGUUCGAAAGACCCCAGGGGCUUUCCUGGACUCUGUUGAGAUUCAGGGCCAUGUGGAACCACAGGAUUUCAGGAUGAAGGGGCCACACUCACUUGGCCCCAGGGAAGGCAGCUCUGCCAGGACUCUCCCUGCAGGUUCUCCCAGCCCCUCCCCUGCUCCAGCCUCACACUGCCCCACAGACAGGAAGUCCCGCAGUACUGCAAUUGCUGUGAUUAUCCUGUGGCACCUGGGGCCUCCAGGCCAAGCUGGUGGAGGAGGAUAGAGGUGCCCAGGCACCCACCCCCUGAUUUCCCCCACAUUCAUGACACGGGGCGGGGGGGGGGCUGCUCCUGCUUCCGGCUGGGCCUGAGCUUCUGGCCAGUAAGCAGGCACCUGAGGUUGCUUACCACCUUCCCCAAACUCCCCACUCCUCCAAUCCCCCUAUCCCUCUCCCAGACCCCUCACCUGCCCAUGGCUCUGAGGGCAGACCUGUUGUAACUCAGCGGGCCCUUCCAGGGGCUGACAGUGCAGAGCCCCUCAUGGGGCACCCUAAAGCAUCAGGACUGACAACACGGGGGUCCCAGAGCAGCCCCACUGGCGCCUGGUAGUCAGAAUACCAGUUACUAUGCCUUUGAACACUUACCAUGUGUGUGCUGAAUGCCUCACAGACUCAGGCUCACGUCCCUCUCCCAGGCACGGCCCUGUAAAGCGGGCACUGUUAUCCCUAUUGGCUGCAGGUGAGAACCCUGAGACUCAGCUGGCGUGAGUUGACUGACAGGCUCUGAGCGGUCCUCCCACUUCCCACCCUUUGCCUCAUUGGACCCCACACAGUCCCUUGAGGUGGGGACUCUUGCUAUCAUGUGGUGGCCAGGAAAUGGGGCACCUUGCAUGAAGUCAGUCAGCCUGGACAUGGGCUAGUUUGAACUGGAGUCAUCCGAGUCCUGAGCCCACCCUUCCCUGAUCACCAUAGCGUCCUGCGUCCUGGCCCUCAGACUCACGGCCAGUCCUCAAAGGAGCCAGAUUUGAACCCGGUGUGUCUGGCUGGGGACCCUUGGUCAUGCACCUUUGGCACCUCUCUCAGCCCUGACCCUCUAUAGUCAGUUCUGGAGGCUUCUUUCCACACAGCCCUGGGUGCCCCCUCUGCCCAUGCCCACGGCCAGCCUCUUCUGGGACAUCCAUUCUCAGUUCCCCCGGGGCUUUCUAGGCAUUUCCUGUCCUGCUCGCUCUGCUCUACUCCAUCCUCCGCCUUUUGCCACCAUCGUGCUCUUUAUGUCAAGGCCCCCCACCGCCAACAGGAUCACAUGGAAAGUCCUCGGCCUCCAAGACCCACUACAGCUCUAUUGCCCAGGCCUCCUGCCAGACAAGCAAGGCUCCCACCAAACCAGGCCUGAGGCCCUAGGCCCCAGGAGGGAGCUCCCCACAGCCACCCCAGCCUCUGGAGAAUGGGUCUGGCCCAGGUGCUGCAGGAGGGAGAAAUCACCUCUGGCUGUAGGUCAGGGAAGGCUUCCAGGAGGAAGUGACUUUUAAGCCUGAAGGACUGGUGGGCUUCAGGGAGGGGAGGAAGCACUGGGGCAGAAGAGUUGACAUGCGCAAAGCUGCGGCAGGGAGGCUGGGUCUAGGGUCCCUUGGCCAAAGUAGGGAGUCAAUCAGAGUAGCCCCUGAGAACACAGAGAGGGUACUGCCCAUCCCUAAAACCUUCAGGAGGGGCCUGGAAAACCUGGAAUGGCAGAUGGAGAGUGGUGUGUAUUGAGGGGGUACAGUACUGACAGCCUUCCUGAAGGUGGAGGUUUCAAAACACCUGAAGGGCGACUGGGGCCAGGAGUCUAGUUCCAUCAGAGAGCUACGUACCUCUGGUCACUUUGGCCAAGUCAUUGCUGUCACUGAGUCUCAAUGUCCUAAUCUGUAAUGUGGGAGAAUGGGUGAGAGCAAAUUAAACCAAAAGUCAUCGUUCAAAAAAAAUUUUUUUUUUUUUUUGGCAUUUGAGGCUGGAAGCUUUUCCUUAAAGAUAUUUUUUGGAAGUCUUAAGAAUAAUGGAUUAAAAUGGCGCUGUGCAAAUCAAUAGAGAGAGGGGGGGACCUAGGGGCCAAUCAGCCUCUCCACUUAUGUCUGCCACGCAAGGCAGUAUGCCAACUGCUGGAUUUGGCAUCUGUCAUUAACAGCUGACUCUGCAAUCCUAACUCAACUCCAUGAUGGUCUCCUGACUCCCACUGACCAUCCCCAGCUCAGGCCGCCCCAUCUCCAGUGUCCCCCUUUGGAGGGGGACAAAUGCCCUGAGCCCCUGCCCUGGAAGAAAAAAAAGAGCCACCCUUCAGGGUUCCCAGACAUCAAUACUGAAUCAUCUGGAUUUCUGUG